GAGAUGCUUUCCUUUAUCAAUCAAAAAGGGCCGUUCACAGAAGGCAUCUUCAGAGAACCAGCCAGUAUAAAAUCCUGCAUAGCCUUAAAGAAGAAACUCAAUGCUGGACACAACGUGAACUUGGAUGAUGAAUCCGUUCUCGUAGUAUCGUCGGUCUUAAAGGAUUUUCUUCAAAAUAUCCAAGGAAGUGUAUUUUCAGCCCAUCUCUAUGAUAAAUGGCUUGAUGUUAUUGAUCAAGGGAAUGAGGAGGAGAAAAUAACUGCGACCCAGAGGCUUGUAGACCAGCUACCAAGAGCCAAUGUAGUGUUUUUGAGAUACCUUUUUGGAGUGUUACACAACAUUGAGCAACAUUCUUCAUCCAAUCAGAUGACACCUUAUGAUUUAUCCGUGUGUCUCACCCCAAGCAUCCUUUGUCUGCUUAAUUCUGGCAGCUCAGCAUUUGAAAACUUCACCAAAAAGGUUUCUCUGAUAAAAUUCCUCAUUGAAAACUGUCUCAAGAUAUUUGGAGAAGAUAUCACUUCUCUCUUUGGAGAGAACUCAGUGAGUUGUGAUAACAGUGAUAUCACUGAUAACAGUGAGAUUUCAGACAAGAAGACAGUUAAUAAGAGUUCUGUCAAAAACUCGGCCUUUUGGUGUAGCUCCAGGACUCGCGAGGACAACCAAGACCCACCUCUACCACCCAGAAAGCAAAAACAGCUCUUUGGAGCUCCUCUUGAAGCUGUAUGUGAUAAUGACACCCUGCCCACCCCAAUUCUGGAGAUGCUUUCCUUUAUCAAUCAGAAAGGGCCGUUCACAGAAGGCAUCUUCAGAAAACCAGCCAGUAUAAAAUCCGCAAUAGCCCUAAAGGAGAAACUAAACGCUGGACACAAAGUUAACUUUGAUGAUGAAUCCAUUCUCGUAGUAUCGUCGGUCUUAAAGGAUUUUCUUCGAAAUAUUCCAAGGGAGCAUCUUUUCAGCCCGUCUCUACGAUAA
rnacentral:lncRNA from 1 species